AUGGACCGUGAUGUAGAGCGGGGUAACGAGGAGGGGAGUGAGAGUUUUUAUGACUGCGUCCUGGAGAUAGAGCAGGAGUUCGACGACCCCCAGCACUUCCCACAGGAGACAGCCGUGGUUCAGGAUCCUCAACAUCCUACAGUCGGCGGCGAGACACAUGCACUGCCUGGUCUCAUGGGAAAUGAUCUCAAGUCCACCAGUCAGAUUUUCAGCGUGGUCGCCGCAACGGUGGGCGUCGGGCUGCUACUGGCCUUCCUUGGGCUUGCAGUGACACCGACGGCGUCCCUCAUGCACAGCGCUUCGAUGUCAAGUUGCAGCGCCACCACUGAUGACGUGGCACGGCUGUACGCACGGGUGGGCGUGGGGCUGGCAAUCGCUGUUACACAGUUCCUCGCGUCGCUCGUUGGUGCCAGUGGAAAGGAAGAGACGGCGGAGCCACGCGUGCCUGUCAUGCGCCGAGUCUGCGUUUUCGUUGCCGCUCUGUCGCAGCUAGGUUUGACCGUCAGCGUCUCUUGGAGUCUGAUCCUCGCAGUUUCACCGCGCUUGGGUCAGAUGCGCUGUUGGCCACAGGUGACGAGGGACUUGUUGCUGACCGGGCUGGACGGGCAUUUCCUCCGCCUUGAGCGCGUACCUUGUUUACAUCGGCUUGGCCUGUGUGUUUGGGACCGGCUGAUGAUGGUAGGUUACAUGGUAACUCUUCUCUUGAAAUACUACCCAUCUAAUUCGAACAUCAUGCAUUGUACUCCCUCCGUCCAAAAAAGCUUGUCCCAAGCUGACACUCAAAUGGAUGUAUCUAGCACUAACUUGGUGAUAGAUACAUCCAUUUGA
rnacentral:rRNA from 1 species